AUUUGAGGUUCUCUCGAAGGUGGGCYGGAUACCAAUGGAUGGGGAGGCAAUUGCCAUGAGAUUGCCUGUGAGCGCACACUUACGGACUGGGCCUUGCAGGGACUCUUCCUCAGACUGGYCUUCAGUAACUGGUCUCGUCCUUCCACAGUGGCUGAAGAGCUGUGGAACUUCAGGCAUUGAAAUACUGUGCUGCUGAAAACUUUGGCAAAAAGAAGCUUAGGGACUUUUCCAAAGACUUAAUAGGUCCACAUUCUUAGACUUAGUUGUCUAAGCUCCAUAUCCAAAUAUGUUUCUAAGUCUAACUACCAUUGAAAAUUUUGACCCAGAUAUUUCUUUGCUUGCUGGGUGGCAUAUUCCAUUUCUUUUCUGUUCCCGCUCUAUAAUUCUUCAGGGUGAAAAUAGAAUCAGUAGA